UACGUAGGGACCAAGCGUUGUUCGGAUUUACUGGGCGUAAAGGGCGCGUAGGCGGCUUGUCAAGUCACUUGUGAAAUCUCUGGGCUUAACCCAGAACGGUCAAGUGAAACUGACAUGCUAGAGUGUGGAAGGGGCAAUCGGAAUUCUUGGUGUAGCGGUGAAAUGCGUAGAUAUCAAGAGGAACACCUGAGGUGAAGACGGGUUGCUGGGCCAACACUGACGCUGAGGCGCGAAAGCCAGGGGAGCAAACGGG
rnacentral:rRNA from 1 species